rnacentral:rRNA from 2 species
UGAGUAAUGUAUAGGAAUCUACCUAGUAGUACGGAAUAAUUGUUGGAAACGGCAACUAAUACCGUAUACGCCCUACGGGGGAAAAAUUUAUUGCUAUUAGAUGAGCCUAUAUUAGAUUAGUUAGUUGGUGAGGUAAAGGCUUACCAAGACAAUGAUCUAUAGCUGAUCUGAGAGGAUGAUCAGCCACACUGGAACUGAGAUACGGUCCAGACUCCUACGGGAGGCAGCAGUGGGGAAUAUUGGACAAUGGGCGAAAGCCUGAUCCAGCCAUGCCGCAUGAGUGAAGAAGGCCUUCGGGUUGUAAAGCUCUUUUAGUGAGGAAGAUAAUGACGGUACUCACAGAAGAAGUCCUGGCUAACUCCGUGCCAGCAGCCGCGGUAAUACGGAGAGGGCUAGCGUUAUUCGGAAUCAUUGGGCGUAAAGGGCGCGUAGGCGGGUUAGUAAGUUAAAGUGAAAUCCCAAGGCUCAACCUUGGAACUGCUUUUAAAACUGCUAGUCUAGAGAUUGAAAGAGGAUAGAGGAAUUCCUAGUGUAGAGAUGAAAUUCGUAAAUAUUANNAGGAACACCAGUGGCGAANGCGUCUAUCUGGUUCAAAUCUGACGCUGANGCGCGAANGCGUGGGGAGCAAACNGGAUUAGAUACCC